UUUAGAUAUAACUACUUUUUUUCAAAGAGUGGCACUUCAGGCCAGUCGGGUGUGAAAAUAGUUUUCACACCAGCCAAUCAUCAACUGCCAUGUAGGCAUCCUAAAUGCAAUUAAACUGGACCGGCAUACACCUGAUCGGCCUCUCCUCUCUCCCUCCCCAUCUCUAUCGUGCUUGCUGUACAGUCCCACUCCGAUCUCUCUCUCUGAGUAAAUUGCAACCCACCAGUUCGAAAUUCAUACUUUAAUAUAUGCACAUAAUUUUUUUCUCACUUCGCCGUAAAAUUUUGAGCCAUUGGUCUGUAAUUCCAAGCACAAAAGGCAACUCUUUUUUUCAAAGUUUUAGCUUGAAACCCAUUUGAUUAUGGACAUUAUCAAGCUGAUUCUAUGUUCAAAAUUUCAUUCAUUUGAUGGUCACCGAUGCUUAUUCGAAGAUGGGGCUCGACUCUUCUUUCCACUUUCCUUGUGAUAAUGAAGUACUGGUAAACCAUAUUGAUGACUACUUUCAAACAAAAACAAAUCUGAAAAUUGAAAAUGAAAGAUCAUUACGUUCUCUUUUGGUGAUUUGCUCUGAAAACAAAAACCUCAGAACUUUCGUCUUUCCACCACAAUACAUUUAAAAUCUCUUUUACACUGGAACUCUGUUUUUUUUUUUUUUUUUUUCACUCUUAUGUUUUUUUUUUUUUUUUGUGGGUUCAGCGACUCGUUUUCUAGGCAAGGACCAGGGUUCAUUGGUUCUUCAUUUUCUUUUUUUAUGCAAUGGUAUUUUUAUCGAGAAAAAGGGGUUGGAAGAGGAAGUAGCAGGUUAUGGUAGAUGAUUAACUGUAGCGUGACUGGAGCUAUCACCGCAAUUUUCUUCCAUAUUAUGAAGUCGGCAACAGGAGGAGCUGACUGACAGAGAAUUCGUUGGCCUUCCUUCGGCGUCUUGAGUGCAGAUGAGCGAGGGAAAGGGAGAGAAAGAAGGAGAGGGAGAGGUUUUUGGUGCAGUUCCUUCGGCAUCUUCAGUGCAGAUGGGGGGAGGGAGAGGGAGAGGGAGAGAGAAGAAGAGCAAGAAGUGGAUUGGGUGUAUGCGGAUCCAAUUCAAUUGCUUUGAGAUGCCUACCGUGGCACUUCAUGAUUAGCCGGUGUGAAAUUAACCUCAAGGUUAAAAGGAGUUUGAUACUUGCACGUCCUAAAAUUAUAAAUAUCAUUUCUUUUAAUAUUCAGCUAUUUAGUUUGUAUCAAUAUCCUUAAAAGACAUUUUCUAAUAUUUUAGCAGGCUUGAUAAACGUUAUUUUUUUAGCGGAGUGAGUUUAUAAUGAAUCUCAUGUUCGGAACAUAAAAGUAGAAAACAUGAUUGAACUUAAAGAUGUGUACAAAUACAGGACGAUGCAAGAUGCAUUGUGCAUUAAAUAGGGAACGUGGUGAGCCUCAAAAGAGUGCAAGUAGAGGAAAUUAUACAAUUUAUACAAGGAGAUCAGCUGAAGGAAGCCAUGGAAGAAGAAGUGAUUACAUGGACUUAAAUCCUGGAAGGGAUGAGUGGGAUGUUGUUCUGCAAGUAUG